rnacentral:snRNA from 1 species
AGCGUGCUCCGGGCGUCG